rnacentral:tRNA from 1 species
GGGGCUGUAGCUCAGUGGCAGAGCAUUUGCCUCACAUGUAUAAGGCCCUGGGUUUGAUCUUCAGCACCA